GAAAUGCGAUAAGUAAUGUGAAUUGCAGAAUUCAGUGAAUCAUCGAAUCUUUGAACGCACCCUGCGCUCCUUGGUAUUCCUUGGAGCAUGCCUGUUUGAGUAUCAUGAAAUCUUCAAAGUAAAUCUUUUGUUAACUCAAUUGAUUUCUACUUUGGUAUUGGAGGUCUUUGCAGCUUCACACCUGCUCCUCUUUGUUCAUUAGCUGGAUCUCAGUGUUAUGCUUGGUUCCACUCGGCGUGAUAAGUUAUCUAUCGCUGAGGACACUGUAAAAGGUGGCCAAGGUAAAUGCAGAUGAACCGCUUCUAAUAGUCCAUUGACUUGGACAAUACUUUUAUGAUCUGAUCUCAAAUCAGGUAGGACUACCCGCUGAACUUAAGC
rnacentral:misc_RNA from 1 species